rnacentral:rRNA from 1 species
GAUCAUGGCUCAGGAUGAACGCUAGCUACAGGCUUAACACAUGCAAGUCGAGGGGAAACGAUAUUGGAAGCUUGCUUCCGAUAGGCGUCGACCGGCGCACGGGUGAGUAAUGCGUAUCCAACCUGCCCACCACUUGGGGAUAACCUUGCGAAAGUAAGACUAAUACCCAAUGAUAUCUCUAGAAGACAUCUGAAAGAGAUUAAAGAUUCAUCGGUGAUGGAUGUGGAUGCG